rnacentral:tRNA from 2 species
UUGGUUCAAGUCCCUCUAUCCCCA